UACGUAGGGUGCAAGCGUUAAUCGGAAUUACUGGGCGUAAAGCGUGCGCAGGCGGCUUUGCGAGACAGAUGUGAAAUCCCCGGGCUUAACCUGGGAACUGCAUUUGUGACUGCAUGGCUGGAGUGUGGCAGAGGGGGAUGGAAUUCCGCGUGUAGCAGUGAAAUGCGUAGAUAUGCGGAGGAACACCGAUGGCGAAGGCAAUCCCCUGGGCCUGCACUGACGCUCAUGCACGAAAGCGUGGGGAGCAAACAGG
rnacentral:rRNA from 1 species